UUUUACCGGGUCUUUGAAAUGAAACCUAUUGGUUUAGUCUCUUUAAUGUUUUAAUUUCACCUUUCUGAAUUCUUUCCUCUAUUAUUUCCGAAAGUUUUACCAAAUCAUAUAUUUCCUCUUACAAGAAGCUCCAACCGCAUUAAAAAAAAGACACAGAGCUUGUCAAAGAAAUCUCCAACUCGAAAAUGCUUUUGAGCAACUACAACGACAACUAACUCGAGCUGAUGAGCAAAACAAUGAAUAUAAUAUACAGAACUGCAUGCUUGCAGUAUUAAAUAUCUCAAUCCAUUUAAUUUACCCUUCUCAUUACUGGCUCCAUCAUAACCUUGUCCUCUGAACUUUUUCAUACUCAAUCCAUGUUUAGCAAACAAUGAAUCAGC
rnacentral:lncRNA from 1 species